rnacentral:rRNA from 1 species
GACGUAGGGCGCGAGCGUUGUCCGGAUUUAUUGGGCGUAAAGAGCUCGUAGGCGGCUUGUCGCGUCGUUCGUGAAAACCCACAGCUCAACUGUGGGCUUGCGGUCGAUACGGGCAGGCUGGAGUUCGGUAGGGGAGACUGGAAUUCCUGGAUGUAGCGGUGAAAUGCGCAGAUAUCAGGAGGAAUACCGGUGGCGAAAGGCGG